AGAGUUUGAUCAUGGCUCAGGACGAACGCUGGCGGCGUGCUUAACACAUGCAAGUGGAGCGACGAAGCGGGCUUCGGCCCGUGGCAGAGCCGCGAACGGGUGAGUAACACGUGGGUAACCUACCUCGAUGACCGGGACAACCCGAGGAAACUCGGGCUAAUACCGGAUGUGCUGCGCCUUUGUAAGGGGGUUCAGUAAAGAUAGCUUUGGCCUUCGCAUCGAGACGGGCCCGCGGCCCAUUAGCUUGUUGGUGAGGUAACGGCUUACCAAGGCGACGAUGGGUAGCUGGUCUGAGAGGACGAUCAGCCACACUGGGACUGAGACACGGCCCAGACUCCUACGGGAGGCAGCAGUGGGGAAUCUUGCGCAAUGGGCGAAAGCCUGACGCAGCAACGCCGCGUGGGGGAAGAAGGCCUUCGGGUUGUAAACCCCUUUCAGUUGGGACGAAGCUUCCAGCGUUAAUAGCGUUGUGGAGUGACGGUACCUUCAGAAGAAGCCCCGGCUAACUACGUGCCAGCAGCCGCGGUAAUAC
rnacentral:rRNA from 1 species